GACGAACGCUGGCGGCGUGCUUAAUACAUGCAAGUCGAACGGUAAGGCCCUUUCGGGGGUACACGAGUGGUGACCGGGUGAGUAACACGAGGGUGAACUGCACCGCCCUUUGGGAUAAGGCUGGGUACCUGGGUCUAAUACCGGUAAGGAAUACGCGUUGCAUGUGGUUUGGUGGAAAGUUUGUGAGGUGUGGGAUGGGCCCGCGGCCUAUCAGUUCGUUGGUGGGGUGAUGGGAGACCAAGACGGCGACGGGUAGCCGGCCUUGGAGGGUGUCCGGCCACACUGGGACUGAGAUACGCCCCAGUAGCCAACGGGAGGCAGUAGUCGGGAAUAUUGCACAAUAGGCGCAAGCCUGAUGCGGCGACGCCGCGUGGGUGAUGACGUCCUACGAGUGGAAAACCCCUUUCAGCACAGACGAAGCGUAAGUGACGGUAUGUGCAGAAGAAGCACCGGCCAACUACGUG
rnacentral:rRNA from 1 species